UUAGAGUUUCAGUUCCCCCACCCAGUCCGUUCGUCGUCUGUUGCAGGGCGGCAUGGAGUCGGUCGAUCAAUGCGCCGCCAUCGACGACGACGGUGGCGCCAGAGGCUUAGGAGAUGGAGACGCAGUCGGCGGCGGUGGCGGUAAUCAUCCUGAUGCCGUCGAUGUGGUUGGUUCCGAAGGGAAGUGUGCGUCCGAUGGAGGCAGUGGCAGCGGCACGGCGGGGAUAGUAGGUGGUGAGCCCGUCGUCGGCACUGGCAUAGAUGCUGGUGUGGCCGAUUUGCUUCCUCGCCGUCGAUUUCCCUGGGACAAAGCGCCUUUAUAUGGUGAUGAUUCCGAACAAUUUAGUGUGGAAAUUCACCAUAAUGGAUGGUUCUGUGGUGUUGGCAUUAAUCGUAGCUACAUGGAGGAACAAGUUGACACAUUUGAUGGCUGCCAUAGGAAAACUUUCUGAUGUGCUUUACUGGACUAGAUGGUUAAACAUCUGGGAUAUGCAAUACCAAAAACAGGUUUUGCAAUGUAUUGGUGCAUCCCUGGAAAAAGUAUAGAUGAUGGUUUGCAAGUAGUUAGUUUGGAAACUCAUGCUAGGGCUAUGGUAGCAGCAAGUCAACAGAACAAAGUACUAAUUGUGUUCAUUGAUCACAACAAUAUGCUGGAGAAGCAGUUGUGGGAUGAUGUUCUGUUGCAAAAAGUUGAGCUACCUACAGUUAUCAGUCCAGUGAAGACAAGUUAUGUGCAUGAGCAGAGGGGUGGGCCAUCAGCACCAACUUAUGGUGAGCACCUGUUCAGCAUGUAUCGUGGUCCUCAUGUAGAAGAUGCAGGUGAGAAGGAAGCUCGCAUUAGGAGAAAUAUUUUCCCCAAUACUUGCAAUGCUGAUGCUGUCAUGGGAAGGAAGGGGCAAGAAAAGGUUGAUUGUGCUGGUGCUAAUGAGCAGUUUUAUGAAGCUGGUGCCGAUGAGGAAUACUAUGCAGGAGAAGAUUCCAGUGAGGAGGAGGAAUAUUAUGGUGGAACAGAUACUAGCUCUGACUCGGAUUUUGCAGAUUCAGACUAUGACUUUGAGGAUGGAGAUGAUGCACUAUAUGAUACAAAUGUGGACAAAGAUUUGAAGGAUGAGCUUGUAGCUGAAAAGAGGAAAGGGAAAAAGGUGUCAGAAGAAUUAGAAGAGGAAGAUGUGGUAGAUAUGGAUGAGUUGAAGUUGCCAGAGUCAGAAUCAACACUCAAGUUCAACUUCAAGACAUCCAACCCAAUGACAGACAUGGAGAACCCCACUUUCAAACUUGGGAUGACAUUUUCAAACCCAGCAGAAUUGAGAAAGGCAUUAGCAAAUUACAUUGUGAAGAACAGAGUGAAAGUUAGGAAAACAAGGGACAAUGCAAAAAGGUUAGAAGCCAUAUGUGUUGAGGACUGCCGCUGGAAAAUGAUUGUUGUUAAAGACUCAAGAAGUGGUUGCUUUCUCAUUAAAACACUAGUGGAUGUGCACACUUGUGAAAAGGUUUGGGAUAUGAAAGAAAUGACAGCUACUUUGCUAGCACAAAAAUUUCAUCAGGAUUUCAGAGAUGACCCUCACAUGAGUCUGCUGGCUUUUUCCAACAAGGUUGAGACAAAGUACAACAUGAAGGUGGCCAGGUUCAAAUUGUCAAGGGCAAGAUUAAUUUGUUUGAAAAAAAUAGAGGAGAUGAGGAGGCACAAUAUGGAAAAGUAUGGGACUAUGGUCACGAGCUGAUGAGAGCAAACCCAGGCACAGCAUUCUUUCUGAAAAGGAUGGGUCAAACAUUUAGUAACUUGUAUUUUUGCUUGGCUGCUUGCAAAAAAGGGGCUAAUAGGAGCAGUUAAUGAAGCAUUUCUAGAUUCUGAACAUAGAUAUUGUGUCAGACAUUUGUACCAGAACAUGAACCAGCUACACAAGGGAGAAGUGGUGAAAAAUCACUUAUGGAAGUGUGCAAGGUCAAGCAAUCAAACAAAAUGGAGGGCCAACAUGGAUGCAUUCAAGGUUGAUUGUCCAGAUGCUUAUGCAUGGUUAGAAGAAAAGCCUCCCAAUGAAUGGUGUAGAGCAUUUUUCAAUGACUUUGUGAAGUGUGAUGUUCUGACAAACAAUAGUUGUGAAGUAUUUAACAGGUGGAUAUUAGAGGCCAGGGAAUUGCCUAUUCUGUCCAUGUUAGAGCACAUAGCUUGUAAAAUUGGCAACAGAUAUUACAACAAGCAAAGAGAGGCCACAGAGUAGUGGGCAGGACAGAUAUGUCCUAAAAUUAGGAAAAAAAAUAGAGAAAAACACUGAAUUUACUGCUAACUGUCGUGCAGAAGGAUAUGGUAGAGCAACAUUCUCUGUUAAAAGCAUUGAAAUGACAUACAUAGUGGAGCUGAACCUACUAGCUUGCUCGUGUCAAAGAUGGCAGCUAACUGGUAUUCCAUGUAGCCACUCCAUAGCAUGCUUGAGAUCUGAGAGGAUUAAACCCGAGCAGAUGGUUAACAACUGUUAUUCACUAAAUUCCUAUAUGCAAGCAUAUGGUGCAAAUAUCAUGCCCCUGAGAGACCAGACAGAGUGGCAGCAAGUAAAUGGGCCAACAGUUUUGCCUCCAUCUUAUGAGAAGAAAGUAGGCAGACCACCUAAAAGCAGAAGAAAGGCUCCUGAGGAAAAAGCAGAUGGGACAAAAUUGAGCAAGCAUGGAGUGACAAUACAUUGUGGUUACUGUAGACGCCCUAACCAUAACAGGAUUGGGUGUCCUAGACUGAAAGCCAUUGCACAGGCUAAAGCAGUAGCUCAGAGGCAUGCACAGGAACAACCUCAAGUUGAUGAACAAGAACAAGCUGAGGGUGCUGCACAAGAACAUGCUCAAGGGGAUGAAACACAACCAGCAGCAAGACAAAGGAGGAAAAGGAGGAGAACAGUGCAUGAGCAAGUGGACAUGUCAUCUCUUAAUAUUAAUAGAGGGCCCACAACAGUAGAUGAAAAUGGAGAUGCAGACAUACCAGAAAUACUUCAGCAUAUUGAAGAGGUUCAACUGGAUCCUAGGCUAGAUCCAUUGAAUGUCAGAUCAAGUAUGGUUUCACAGCUAGGGCAACAGGCACCAACUUUUCAGAUAGAAGAAGACACUCCUAUCCCAACAAAGUGUGCAUUUGUUGCUGCUAACAGAUCUUCCAUACCUGCAGCUAGGGUCACAACUGUAACAACAGAAGGUGCUGUUGCAUUAAGAGGUAGGGGGAGAAAUAGAUCUGGGGGGAGGAGAGUUGCUGCUACAGCAGCUGCUGUUGUAAAUGUUGCUGCUAUUUAUGCUAGCACUAGCACAACUAGAGGAAGAGAAGCUGGAGCAAGAGGGAGAGGCAGAGGGGCUGGAGCAAGAGGGAGAGGAGCUGGAGCCAGAGGGAUAGGAGCUGCAGCAAGAGGCUGGGAAAAUUUGUUGUUUGGUCCUACUGAAAUGAACACCACUCAAAGUGCACCAUUUGACAUGUCACAGGAGUAAAUCAUGUUAGGUGUAUGAUCUUUUGUGCCCUGAGUUUGUGUGAUACAUGAAAUUCUAACUUAUGCUCACACAUAUUUUGUCAUGGCUGUGAUACUAAAGAACAUC